rnacentral:tRNA from 1 species
GCUGAAGUGGUGGAAUUGGUAGACACGCUGGACUUAAAAAUCCAGUGGUCAGUAAUGGCCGUGCGGGUUCAAGUCCCGCCUUCAGUACAA